rnacentral:rRNA from 2 species
UUGAACGCUGGCGGCAGGCCUAACACAUGCAAGUCGAGCGGAAACGAGUUAUCUGAACCUUCGGGGAACGAUAACGGCGUCGAGCGGCGGACGGGUGAGUAAUGCCUAGGAAAUUGCCCUGAUGUGGGGGAUAACCAUUGGAAACGAUGGCUAAUACCGCAUGAUGCCUACGGGCCAAAGAGGGGGACCUUCGGGCCUCUCGCGUCAGGAUAUGCCUAGGUGGGAUUAGCUAGUUGGUGAGGUAAGGGCUCACCAAGGCGACGAUCCCUAGCUGGUCUGAGAGGAUGAUCAGCCACACUGGAACUGAGACACGGUCCAGACUCCUACGGGAGGCAGCAGUGGGGAAUAUUGCACAAUGGGCGCAAGCCUGAUGCAGCCAUGCCGCGUGUGUGAAGAAGGCCUUCGGGUUGUAAAGCACUUUCAGUCGUGAGGAAGGUGGUGUAGUUAAUAGCUGCAUUAUUUGACGUUAGCGACAGAAGAAGCACCGGCUAACUCCGUGCCAGCAGCCGCGGUAAUACGGAGGGUGCGAGCGUUAAUCGGAAUUACUGGGCGUAAAGCGCAUGCAGGUGGUUUGUUAAGUCAGAUGUGAAAGCCCGGGGCUCAACCUCGGAAUAGCAUUUGAAACUGGCAGACUAGAGUACUGUAGAGGGGGGUAGAAUUUCAGGUGUAGCGGUGAAAUGCGUAGAGAUCUGAAGGAAUACCGGUGGCGAAGGCGGCCCCCUGGACAGAUACUGACACUCAGAUGCGAAAGCGUGGGGAGCAAACAGGAUUAGAUACCCUGGUAGUCCACGCCGUAAACGAUGUCUACUUGGAGGUUGUGGCCUUGAGCCGUGGCUUUCGGAGCUAACGCGUUAAGUAGACCGCCUGGGGAGUACGGUCGCAAGAUUAAAACUCAAAUGAAUUGACGGGGGCCCGCACAAGCGGUGGAGCAUGUGGUUUAAUUCGAUGCAACGCGAAGAACCUUACCUACUCUUGACAUCCAGAGAACUUUCCAGAGAUGGAUUGGUGCCUUCGGGAACUCUGAGACAGGUGCUGCAUGGCUGUCGUCAGCUCGUGUUGUGAAAUGUUGGGUUAAGUCCCGCAACGAGCGCAACCCUUAUCCUUGUUUGCCAGCGAGUAAUGUCGGGAACUCCAGGGAGACUGCCGGUGAUAAACCGGAGGAAGGUGGGGACGACGUCAAGUCAUCAUGGCCCUUACGAGUAGGGCUACACACGUGCUACAAUGGCGCAUACAGAGGGCGGCCAACUUGCGAAAGUGAGCGAAUCCCAAAAAGUGCGUCGUAGUCCGGAUUGGAGUCUGCAACUCGACUCCAUGAAGUCGGAAUCGCUAGUAAUCGUGGAUCAGAAUGCCACGGUGAAUACGUUCCCGGGCCUUGUACACACCGCCCGUCACACCAUGGGAGUGGGCUGCAAAAGAAGUAGGUAGUUUAACCUUCGGGGGGACGCUUACCACUUUGUGGUUCAUGAC